rnacentral:tRNA from 1 species
UCCCUGGUGGUCCAAUGGCUAAGACUCUGAGCUCCCAAUGCAGCAGCCCUGGGUUCAAUCCCUGGUCAGGAAG